rfam:Gossypium raimondii chromosome 1, whole genome shotgun sequence.
AUUUCAUGAUGGGGACACUACCUCAACAGUGACUUGAAUCGAUCCCAAGCUUCAUAUAAAUUUUCAACUUCGAAUUGCUUGAAGUUGGCGAUCUCUCAAAGGAGUU